GAUUUGAUGAUGGACAGGGAGGCCUGGUGCGUUCCAGUCCAUGGCGUUGCAAAGAGUCAGACAUGACUGAAUGACUGAACUGACAUCAAUGAAAGGCAGCUAACUUUCUCACAAUGGAAGAUGGUUAAGGAGAAAGUGAACGUUUUAUAGUAGCUUUUAGGUUGCUAUAAUAAAGUUCUCAUCUUACCAGAUUUUACUCUUCUGAAUACUAAUUAUUUCAAGUUGUGUAUUCAAAUUUCACCUGCAUAAGCAGUUUUACUUGUGGUACCUAUAUUUAGUAUAUAGUUUUAUUUCAUUUAGUAUAUGGAUUACUAGUGACAGAGGAUUCAAGAUUGUUCAAAUCUUUACAGAGAAUUUUUGAUAUUGCUAAUAUGGUUUCUAAAAGAUGAACUAGAUGGGCUCAUAAGUUUGGUCAAGGAAACAAAAACAUUAAGGAGCUUUUCUUUUCCACCCCACAUUCCACGGUUUCCCAAUAGUUAGUUCUAUUUUUGGAGGAGUCUGAAUUGACAAGUAAACUGCUUUGGGAAUAUUUCAGAACUUCUUUCCCCAAAUGAAAACUAAUCUGGACAAAUUAUAUAUUGCAUAGAUUUCUCUGCAGAUUCUUUUCUUUAGAACCUAAAUGUAAUUACCAUAUGAUAUAAUUUAACCUAUUUGCCCCAGAGAAAAGAACUAUCUUCCCUAAAAAAUACGAUGGGUACAUUUUGCGAUCUUCUAGUUAAUAGAAUUAUUUUACCUCAAUGAUAAUUAUCAUAUUUCAGAAUUAAGCAACUCAACAUGGGACAUUAUUUCAGUCUUUACUGACUUCUAGGCACGUGAAAGAGUGCCUAGCUUCUACCUCUUCUACAUCCUCCUCCUCCAUAAACGGAUGGAAUUAUUUCAUGUAAGUCUGAUGUAGGACAAUUCACGUUUUACAAACACAAUUUAGGUUAAAGUCAGUGACUAGUGUGGAGAAAGAAACACUGAAAUGAUAGGGAGCCUAUACACUCAAUUCAAAAUUUAAUAUUUUUUCCUCCAUAAAUAAUAUGUACUUAGUUGUCAUGAGGCAGCUAUUCGGUUUUCAUUAACCACAUUUAGGGAUACAUUCAUAGGACUGAUUAGAUAGUCCAGGUGAAAUGGUUAUAGAAAUAGAGGCAGUGUCAUCUCACAAAACUCAUUUAUAUAUCAAAAUCUAUUUUGACAUCUGAAGUUUACAAAAAGACUGAAUUCUUCAAACUAAUCUUGCCUUCUGUAACUCAAGCAUUCUUCUCUUGGCAAGAGCAAGCUGAAGCUUAUC
rnacentral:lncRNA from 1 species